UACGUAGGGUGCGAGCGUUGUCCGGAAUUAUUGGGCGUAAAGAGCUCGUAGGCGGUGUGUUACGUCGGCCGUGAAAACCUGCAGCUUAACUGUGGGCGUGCGGUCGAUACGGGCAUCACUGGAGUUCGGCAGGGGAGACUGGAAUUCCUGGUGUAGCGGUGAAAUGCGCAGAUAUCAGGAGGAACACCGGUGGCGAAGGCGGGUCUCUGGGCCGAUACUGACGCUGAGGAGCGAAAGCGUGGUGAGCAAACAGG
rnacentral:rRNA from 1 species